UUUGAGCUCUGGGGAGCUGAGCCCCCGGGUGCUGUCUGGGCAAGGGGAAGGACAUGGGGAGGGCGCAGGGGAAGGAGCCUGGUCCUCGGACUCCAGAGUUGGAGCUGAAGGUCAAACGGUGGUGGGAAUAGACGGGACAGCUAGAUCUCGUUACCUGAUGUCUGCUCAUUGAGCGGGUUCCACUACAGCAAACCACUUAGAUACUGCUGGAGAUGCUGUCCUUUCAGUAACACUGUGCUGUAUUGGAACCCAUUGUAACCUGAAGAAAAGGAAGAAUUGCUUGAAGAGUGGCAACCAGAACCUCUUGUUCCUCCUGUAUCAAAAGACCAUCCUGCUCUCAACCACAACUUCAUUACAGGGAUCGUGAGUAGAUUCUUCCUGUAGGACCUCCUGGGAACCCGCAUCUUGUCUCCCGUGCAUCCCAACUAUUUUGGUAUGACAACACAGAUGACAAUUGAGGGCUGAGGCCUGCCCAGUGCGUGACACACACCUGGGAGUUCUCCUCGAAGCUACACUGCUUCCACAGCCUGGAUUCUGCAGGGCAAGCAGUUCUGAUGGUCACUUCGAAGCAGCCACCUCUGGAGAUGUGGUGCCUGGAGAUUCGCACUGACAAGAUCCCUGUGAUGGGCACACACUGAACUGUGGGCCUGGAAGGUGAAGCUAUCCUGAAAAAGCCUGGCAGGGACUUGAUUAACCACUUGGUCAGAGUUUUGGACAACAGGGGAUAAAGACAUCCUUUCUCUUGGCCUGUGCCACAUGGACCAUUCCAGAAAUUGAAUUUUAAUUGAGACAAAGGCUUGUGCCUUGCUCUGGUCUGUAGGAGUAGACACCCCAUAAUACCUAAUCUCUGGUGGAGAAAAAGGUGGUUGGAUUUGGAAAUCAGGAGUGUGAUGGGCCUGGGUCUGAACCAGAGACACUAGUGGGGGCUGGGACUGGAGCAAGUCUCCAGCCAAAGAUUGUAACUGGACCUAGGGUGAGGCCUGAAUGUGGCCUGGGAAAGAUUUGAAGACAUGAUGAGCUGAUUGGGAAGUGGAAAACAUUUAGUUUCCAAUGAGUAAAACAAAGGAAGUCUGUGGUUGAGAUGUGCUGCCCAUGACUAAAGCAGUAGCCACAAGGGACUCACUGUGCAGCGAGGAAAGUCCCUAGCAACACUGACUGCAUUUCUGGUGUAAAAAGUCCCCCACGGCCUGGAGAUAACAGAACUGCUAACGAUUGGACAGUUGCUCCACUUUUCUUCCUUGUUCUGGAUUAGUGGGGAGAAUGUAAUGUCCUCCAAAAAAUUCAGAUGGUAGAUUGAGCUUGUUUGUUUUGGAAAUGAUCCAUGCUUUGCUUUUCCUUCCCAAAUGUUCAGUUCUACUCUUUUGCUGAUUAAAGUCUCCAGCAGCUUCUGAACAUCAGGGAUGACAAAUGAGAGACUACCAAUUUCUAUCUGCCUGUUUGUGGGCCCCCCACCCCUGAAAGAGGUCCCUGAUCAUUGUUGGGGCAGGUGCUGUGGCUAGAACUUGCACCUCGAGGAGGCCAGAAAGAAAAAAGCCUUUGUAUUUUCCCACUACCAGGAAGACAACCAAAAGGGAUAGUUGGUGAGGCUCAACCCUGCCAUGGCUGGCACUGGAGAUGCUGCCACAGGCAUUCCCUGUGUUACCUGGAGCUGAACUUUUUGGGAUGGUGUCCAGUGGGAUUCUCUUUGAAUUGCAUUCACCAUAUUGAGGUUUCACUGACCUGAUGGUGGUCACGCCAGGAGCAGGAUCUUUCACACAUGACCUGUGGACUCUGGCAGGUGCUUCUUUGGGGGCUUGAUGAAAUUUACCCUUUUCGGGGUGUUUUUCCAGAUGACUCCAGAACACAGGAGGCAUAAGUUGCAGGUAGGCGUAGAGAGGCCUGUAGGACUGGCCAGGCCAGAGAACCCUUGUAGCCUCCACUGCCCCCAAGCUGACUUAUAAUUCUCUUGCUGUCCUCUCCCCUACCCUCCCCCUCCACCUAUGUCAGGACUUUAGCCACACCUCAGCCCCAGAGCCCACCGUCCCAGGUCAGCAUGAGGUUGUUUGAGGCUCUGAGGGUCAUACCAAAGGCUCUGAAAGGAAACAUAAGGGAAGAAUCUUUACCUUUGCAGAAGUAAAACCAGGUUUUUAUCUUCCUCUUGUUCUGUCAGGCAUUCUCUAGAAGCUACUGUAAAUCAAGAUACCUGGUCACAUAUGAAAGGAGGGGCCAGGGAGUCUGAUAGGAGGAUAAGAACCACGUGCUCCAGGAGACCUUUGUGGGAUUUGACUCUAGAGUCUAAGGUCACCUGAUGCCUGACCAUGAUGGCAAGGCUUAUGAUGCGGGCUUGUCAUUUACAAAGCCAUUUUGAUCCUGAGACCUCAUCACUGCUCUGUAGGGGAGAAUGGGCAGGUCCUCCAAAGAGGAAUCUGAGAAAGUUAAAAAAUUUGAUUCCAGCUGGACCUGGAGGAUCCAUCUCUCAGGCCAGGCCCUGCUGGUCCAUUCCGGCCAUAUGUCUCUGCUGAUAACACAUAUUUCCAGGCUCGGCUUGGCCUCCUCUGAGCAUUGAAAUCUGGGAGGUGUCAGGGUUCUGUCUCCUUCAAGGAGCCUCUGUUUUCUGAGGACUGAGCCCUGAUAACCUUGGAACUGGGAGCUGCUAUCAGGGACAGGAGAGAGGGGGUAAAUCUGUCAGGCUAACCUCCAGCCUCUCAUCUUUCCAAGCUCCAUGUUUCUUUCUGCUCCUCUUCCUCACCUUCCACUGCAUUUUUGGCUGAGACAUGAGGAAAUACAAAAAGUAACUGGCACUUCUUUCUCCCUGUCCUCCCUCUAGAUCAGCCCACAGAUGUUCGGUGCUCACGCAUGACUUUCUGCCUUUAAGCCAAUGAAGCCUUUGGUUUCAUUUCCUUCUACUCAUUUCUCAAGUGGAUCGAAAUAUUUUCUGUCCGCUUUCCUUGGAGAUCACAAGAAAGGAUCUCUGUGUGAGACCCACCACGGAUCUCUUUCUUGGUCUUCAAGAAACACAAAUCCUUAGCCCUCCUGCUGAAGUCAAUCAGGUCAGGUAGGACCUGCUUCCUGAGGCCUGCUGAGAGGCUCCCAGGGUCUCUGCACUACCCGAUCCCCCCUCAGCCUCAGCAGAGGAACUACUGUUUGGCCUGUCUUGUCUCCAGCAGUCUGAGAUUCUAUUCUUUUGAGAAAAGAUGAUCUGUUCUCUCCCCUCCCAGAAUCUCUUGCACUGAUCCAGAAAAGUGGAAAUGAGAAGAGAGAAUCCUAUUGUGUUGUAUUUUAUUGUGUUUGUCCCAAGAGUUUCUUACCUUCCUGAUGUCUCUGUCCUUCCUAGGAGGUGCUAAGGAUGGAGUACUCUGGAGCAAGGGAAGUAGCAUGAUGGAGAUGAUGUUAAACUCUCAAGAAAUAGAGCUGGUGCUCAGCCAACUAACAAUGCU